AGCCUUAGGAAUUUAAUCUUAGGUUAUACCUGCCCAAUGUAAUUUUUAUCAAUGGCCGCGGUACUUUGACCGUGCUAAGGUAGCGCAAUCAAUUGGCUUUUAAUUGUAGCCAGGUAUGAAUGGAGUUACGUGGUUUAGCUGUCUCCUAGUUAAUUUAUUGAAGUUACUAUUUAGGUGAAAAAGCCUAAAAACUAAAAAAGGACGAGAAGACCCUUAGAGUUUACCUUAUAUUGAAUAAGAAUAUUCAAAUCAGUUUUGUUGGGGCAACAUAGGAUCAAAAUUAUUUUAACAUCCUAAAUUAAAUAAGCCGAUAUUUAUAAGUCUGGAUAAACUACCUUAGGGAUAACAGCAUAAUUUUAUUAAUAAGUUUGUGACCUCGAUGUUGGACUAGGAAACUAAAAGGCUAGCCGCCUUUUAGGUAAGCUCUGUUCGAGCUAUUAUUCCU
rnacentral:rRNA from 1 species